GGCCGCGCUCAGCACCUCUGGAUCAUCCUCUAGUUGUCCCGUGAGCGCUCCAGAGGGAGUGUCAAAACCUGCCCACUCGCUUUGACCUUGGGGGCGGCAAGCAGUUAGCAUAUUCUUGACCCCGUGCUCCGUGAAGCAAUGGCGGCCACCACACGAACGAGGUAGCUGCAGGAGAGAGAUGCGGGGAGUGAUGCCUGCUCCAGGUGUCCCCCACACCCUGACUGCCCCUCCAGGUGUUGAUCAGAGGCCAUUGUGAGCAACGAAGAAAAGCAAAUUGCAAUCAAUCAACUGCUGGUUUGCACCAUCAAAUGCAAUAAAGGUCCUAUGGUGAUCACCUC
rnacentral:lncRNA from 1 species